rnacentral:rRNA from 1 species
GAUGAACGCUGGCGGCGUGCCUAAUACAUGCCAGUCGAGCGAACAGACGAGGAGCUUGCUCCUCUGACGUUAGCGGCGGACGGGUGAGUAACACGUGGAUAACCUACCUAUAAGACUGGGAUAACUUCGGGAAACCGGAGCUAAUACCGGAUAAUAUAUUGAACCGCAUGGUUCAAUAGUGAAAGACGGUUUUGCUGUCACUUAUAGAUGGAUCCGCGCCGCAUUAGCUAGUUGGUAAGGUAACGGCUUACCAAGGCAACGAUGCGUAGCCGACCUGAGAGGGUGAUCGGCCACACUGGAACUGAGACACGGUACAGACUCCUACGGGAGGCAGCAGUAGGGAAUCUUCCGCAAUGGGCGAAAGCUUGACGGAGCAACGCCGCGUGAGUGAUGAAGGUCUUCGGAUCGUAUAACUCUGUUAUUAGGGAAGAACAAAUGUGUAAGUAACUAUGCACGUCUUGACGGUACCUAAUCAGAAAGCCACGGCUAACUACGUG